GACGAACGCUGGCGGCGUGCUUUAGGCAUGCAAGUCGAACGCGAAAGCCCCUUCGGGGGUGAGUAGAGUGGCGAACGGGUGAGUAACACGUGGGUAACCUGCCCCUCGCAGGGGGAUAACCGGGGGAAACCCCGGCUAAUACCCCGUACGCUUGCUGGGGCGCAUGCUCCGGCAAGGAAAGGUAGCUUCGGCCAUCCGGCGAGGGAGGGGCCCGCGGCCCAUUAGCUAGUUGGGGGGGUAACGGCCCACCAAGGCGACGAUGGGUAGCUGGCCUGAGAGGGUGGUCAGCCACACUGGGACUGAAACGCGGCCCAGACUCCUACGGGAGGCAGCAGCCAGGAAUCUUGCGCAAUGGGCGAAAGCCUGACGCAGCAACGCCGCGUGGGCGAUGAAGGCCUUCGGGUCGUAAAGCCCUGUUGUCGGGGACGAAGGGCGAAGGGUUAAUAGCCCCUAGCCUGACGGUACCCGACGAGGAAGCCCCGGCUAACUACGUG
rnacentral:rRNA from 1 species